rnacentral:rRNA from 1 species
AACGAACGCUGGCGGCAGGCUUAACACAUGCAAGUCGAACGCCCCGCAAGGGGAGUGGCAGACGGGUGAGUAACGCGUGGGAAUCUACCUAGUUCUACGGAACAACUGAGGGAAACUUCAGCUAAUACCGUAUACGCCCUAAGGGGGAAAGAUUUAUCGGAAUUAGAUGAGCCCGCGUUGGAUUAGCUAGUUGGUGGGGUAAUGGCCUACCAAGGCGACGAUCUAUAGCUGGUCUGAGAGGACGAUCAGCCACACUGGGACUGAGACACGGCCCAGACUCCUACGGGAGGCAGCAGUGGGGAAUAUUGGACAAUGGGCGCAAGCCUGAUCCAGCCAUGCCGCGUGAGUGAUGAAGGCCUUAGGGUUGUAAAGCUCUUUCAGUGGGGACGAUAAUGACGGUACCCACAGAAGAAGCCCCGGCUAACUUCGUGCCAGCAGCCGCGGUAAAAC